rnacentral:rRNA from 1 species
AGCAGCCGCGGUAAUUCCAGCUCCAAUAGCGUAUAUUAAAGUUGUUGCAGUUAAAAAGCUCGUAGUUGAAUUUCGGGAUUAGUACGNUGGUCGUGCCUUCGGUACGUACUGGUGUUACUGAUUCCUACCUUCUGACGAACCAUCAUGUCAUUAAUUUGGUGUGGUGGGGAAUCAGGACUGUUACUUUGAAAAAAUUAGAGUGUUUAAAGCAGGCUCGCGCUUGAAUACAUUAGCAUGGAAUAAUGAAAUAGGACGUUGAUCCUAUUUUGUUGGUUUCUAGGAUUGACGUAAUGAUUAAUAGGGAUAGUUGGGGGCAUUAGUAUUCAAUUGUCAGAGGUGAAAUUCUUGGAUUUAUUGAAGACUAACUACUGCGAAAGCAUUUGCCAAGGAUGUUUUCAUUAAUCAAGAACGAAAGUUAGGGGAUCGAAGACGAUCAGAUACCGUCGUAGUCUUAACCAUAAACUAUGCCGACUAGGGAUCGGAUGAUGUUAUUUUUAAUGACUCA